UAAUGAAUUUCUUGGUGUUGAGGCGGAUAGAGGGAUUCGACAUUGUGUUGAGGAUGGAUUGACUCUCGCGAUAUUACUUACUAUCGAUUGUGCGAGUCGAGUCAUUACUUUUUGGGAGCAUGAGCAAAAGGAGUUCGUCUACCGAGGUUGUAGGAGUUUGCUUUUCGCCAUGAUGGUCUCCAUGUCUUAAGCUAAGAAGUUGAUCAAUAGUGGAUAUAUAGCCUACUUGGCCAUCUAAUAGAAGAGUGUGCCGAUUCUU
rnacentral:lncRNA from 1 species